UACGUAGGGUGCGAGCGUUGUCCGGAAUUACUGGGCGUAAAGAGCUCGUAGGUGGUUUGUCGCGUUGUUCGUGAAAACUCACAACUCAAUUGUGGGCGUGCGGGCGAUACGGGCAGACUGGAGUACUGCAGGGGAGACUGGAAUUCCUGGUGUAGCGGUGGAAUGCGCAGAUAUCAGGAGGAACACCGGAGGCGAAGGCGGCCAUCUGGCGAGACACUGACGCUAAGGCGCGAAAGCGUGGGUAGCAAACAGG
rnacentral:rRNA from 1 species